GCGAGCGAAAAGAAAAUAGUUCAGCACUAAGUCACUUUGUCUUAAUGGCAAAUGUGAGAUGCAGUGUAUGGAACAUCUAUAAUCUAGUAUGAUAAAUUGAUGAUUUAAGUCCUUCUUAAAUGAGGCCAUUUACCCAAAGAGGGUGCCAGGCCCGUAUAACGUUAAUGAUUGCUAGAAGAUGCUUCCAAAGAGUCGUGUUGCUUGAUAGUGCAGCACUAAGUGGGUGGUAAACUCCAUCUAAAACUAAAUAUUACCAUGAGACCGAUAGUAAACAAGUACCGUGAGGGAAAGUUGAAAAGAACUCUGAAUAGAGAGUUAAAUAGUACGUGAAACUGCUUAGAGGUUAAGCCCGAUGAACCUGAAUAUCCAUUAUAGAAAAUACAGCAUUAUGAUAAUGAUAUUAAUAAUAUUGUUUAUAUAAUGUGCAUUUUUUCUAUAUAAGGACAUUGUAAUCUAUUAACAUAUAUAUAUUUAUCAGAAGAUCAUUAGAUUAAAGUUUAUUUUAAUUGAUUUGCUUUAGUAAAUUAACAUAAAAUAAGUUCUUUUGAUUUGAUAAAUUGUUGAUAGAUUUAUUAAAUAUGGUGCUUAAAUUCAAUGAAUGAAUUUUGUAAUGGCAUAGAUUUCUAUUAGAUUUUUAUGUUUAAUUACAUGCACCAAUAUGAUUAACAAUGCGAUAGAUUCAGGAUACCUUCGGGACCCGUCUU
rnacentral:rRNA from 1 species